rnacentral:rRNA from 1 species
UACGUAGGGGGCGAGCGUUGUCCGGAGUUACUGGGCGUAAAGGGCUCGUAGGCGGCCAACUAAGUCAGACGUGAAAUCCCUCGGCUUAACCGGGGAACUGCGUCUGAUACUGGAUGGCUUGAGUUUGGGAGAGGGAUGCGGAAUUCCAGGUGUAGCGGUGAAAUGCGUAGAUAUCUGGAGGAACACCGGUGGCGAAGGCGGCAUCCUGGACCAACACUGACGCUGAGUGAGCGAAAGCCAGGGGAGCAAACGGG